rnacentral:lncRNA from 1 species
GCUUGGUCGCGUCUGAGGGGGCUUGUAGGUGGCUCUGGCUGAAACAGGCGCCUGCGAGAGUCUGUAGGAGGGAAACCGCCAUGGACGAUCAGGGUUGCCCUCGGUGUAAGACCACCAAAUAUCGGAACCCCUCCUUGAAGCUGAUGGUGAAUGUGUGCGGACACACUCUGGUCAACAUAUUUCACUGGCACCUAUUCACAAGCUUGAAGAAGCUCUGUAUGAAUACCAGCCACUGCAGAUAGAGACAUAUGGACCACAUGUUCCUGAGCUUGAGAUGCUAGGAAGACUUGGGUAUUUAAACCAUGUCAGAGCUGCCUCACCACAGGACCUUGCUGGAGGCUAUACUUCUUCUCUUGCUUGUCACAGAGCACUACAGGAUGCAUUCAGUGGGCUUUUCUGGCAGCCCAGUUAACCAUUUAUAAGAUUUGGACCUUGGAGCUGAACCAGGGAGCUAGCAAAAGUAAAGCAGACUUAUAAAAUUAUAGCUAUGUGCAGCUGCACAACACAGUCCUUCCACUAGCAGCUGUGUUAAAGUAUUUAUAAGGAGAAAAUUUCAGAACUAAGUUGAGUAAUAUAGGGGAUAUAUAUUUGUGAAAAAUAAUUUUUACUUAUAUUUUUCAGAGGAUUUGACACGAUAAGCCUCAUCUGAUGGAAGAGAGGAAUAAAUAAUUCACCUAUAUGUGUUUGAGGUUGUGACAGACUUAUAAAAUCUUUUUAAAAAAU